rnacentral:rRNA from 1 species
GUUUACAGGCCCCUGGAAUGUGCCUGAUCUUGUCUGAUCUCAGAAGCUAAGCAGGGUCAGGCCUGGUUAGCACUUGAAUGGGAGAAAUGUGCUCUUUGUUUAUU